CUCACUUCACGGCCUUUUGGCUAAGAUCAAGUGGAGUAUCUGUUCUUAUCUUAAAAAACGUAUUAUAUCUUAUUAAUCUCACAAUGUCACCAUUU